GCUCUGCAGGGUGAGGAAGCCAGCCCUGGCGAGGAGGAGGAUGAGGAGGUGUGGGAGGAUGGAGACAGCGGCCACCAAAGGCUGGGGAAGGCCCAGCUCCAGCCCUUUCCUUCCCAGAGGUGCUGCUUCAGGAAAGCCCCUCCAGCCUGGGAAGGAGCUCCUGGCUCCAGACACGUUCCCAGUGCCCAGGAGCAGCAGGACCUGUGCUGUUCCCAGCAGGACAGGAAAAACCACUUAACUCAUCCCAUUUUUGCCCAGAGCUUUGGAGUUUGAGCAGCCAAACCCAACGGGCUCCAGCUGCACUGGAGGGUCCCUGGCUCUGCCGUGG